CCUACGGGUGGCAGCAGUGGGGAAUAUUGCACAAUGGGCGCAAGCCUGAUGCAGCCAUGCCGCGUGUGUGAAGAAGGCCUUCGGGUUGUAAAGCACUUUCAGCGGGGAGGAAGGCGGUGAGGUUAAUAACCUCAUCGAUUGACGUUACCCGCAGAAGAAGCACCGGCUAACUCCGUGCCAGCAGCCGCGGUAAUACGGAGGGUGCAAGCGUUAAUCGGAAUUACUGGGCGUAAAGCGCACGCAGGCGGUCUGUCAAGUCGGAUGUGAAAUCCCCGGGCUCAACCUGGGAACUGCAUUCGAAACUGGCAGGCUAGAGUCUUGUAGAGGAGGGUAGAAUUCCAGGUGUAGCGGUGAAAUGCGUAGAGAUCUGGAGGAAUACCGGUGGCGAAGGCGGCCCCCUGGACAAAGACUGACGCUCAGGUGCGAAAGCGUGGGGAGCAAACAGGAUUAGAUACCCGGGUAGUC
rnacentral:rRNA from 1 species